rnacentral:sRNA from 1 species
AGUCAACUAAAGAGACCUAAACAAGUCCAACAAUAACCUGAAAAUCUGGAUUUUCAAUAUACCCAAGUGGCGAAGACUUUGUUGAUU